rnacentral:miRNA from 1 species
UUUAAAUGUCAAAUUCAGGGCCAACCCCAGUGAUUCUGAUAACUAAAUCAGAAUUCUGGAAGCCCUGGAGUCCAGGAACCUGCAUUUUAA